AAGCACAUAUAAAAACUGUUCCUGCUGCUGCUUUUAAUAAAUCUGGAACGAUGAAUUUCGACUCAGGUCCUGUAACAGAAGGUGUUCAUAAAAUUGAUCUGCAAAUUUCUUCGUUCGUAGAUACUGAUGCUAACAACUUUACAAAGGGCAUUUGUUUUUUUCAUUAGAUGCCAUUUGAGUAACAUAGGAUUAUUUACAGGAUUGCAUCUAAAAAUGAUUUCAUAUUUGAAAGUGAUCGUGCAUAAUACUAUUGAUCAAAUUAUUUUCAAUUACAUUUUAGACAUGAUCUUAUGCAUAAUUCUAUGCAUAAUCGACACAAUAUUUUACGUCUAAAAAUCUCCUUCUACAUAAUGAAAAUCUUGAAAUAUUAUUGAUAAUGUAUACUGAGAUAUAACAGCCUUCUUAAAAUUUUCAAUUUUAUACAUAGUCCUAGAUAUAAUUUUUCAACGUUCGAAAGUAGUUAUUGUUUGUCAACAUGUCUCUUUUAUCCAAAAGUUUGGACAUAGAGGAUCCUUUGACAAUAAAAGUGGUUAUGAAGGAAAACAAACCUUUGUUGAAACGCACUGCUACAGAGCAGGAAAAUGAAGAUCCAACAAAGAAAAAGAAAUCUCACGAUGACGGAGCAACCGGACAGUUGGUUGGAGGAAACACUACACAAGCAUGGAAACCGCUGUGUAAAAAAUACUUUACGAACAUAUUUGCCCUUCAUAGUUUAUUUCAAUCAUUUUUUAUUUUUUAAAUAAUGUAUCCACUUUCAUAUUUCUCUUAUUUGAAAAACGCUUCUCACUUAAAUUGUUUUGCUACAAUUUUCUUAAUGAAUGCUAUUUUUUCGAAAUUGUUAAAUGAAAGCCUGUUAUUUAUUGAAGUUUAAGUUUAAGGUUAAAGCUGAUAGGUAAAAGUUUUAGACUUUUUCAAAGGUAGUGAACGAAUAGAUUAUAAACUAAUUUAAUUAGUUUAUGUAGUAGUAUAUAAUGAUUAUGUUACGUUAAUUAUAUAUAGAUUCAAUAAUUUAAUGUAAAACUAAACCAGAUAGCCUUCGAGUAAUUUAUAUGAAAAUAUGACUGAUAUAUUUAAAAGAUAUAUUGUCUAUUUAUUUGAGUAUUUAUUAUGUGCUUAAAUAUUUGAAAGUAACAUUUGAUAUUAUAUUUAAAAAAAACAAUAUAGUAUUUUUCUACGUGAGACUCAUUAUGUGUACAUAAUAUUACUUUGCAGUAUUCAUAAAUAUUUCUAUAUUGAUUGUGGAAAUAUUUUUUAUUUAACGUCGUUGUGAUCUCCCGUAAGGGAUUCUAAUUAACGGAUGUUCGCAUUUGAUGUUAAGGUACAUUUGAAAUAUAUUAUUUAAA